rnacentral:rRNA from 1 species
CCUACGGGUGGCAGCAGUGAGGAAUAUUGGUCAAUGGACGAGAGUCUGAACCAGCCAAGUAGCGUGAAGGAUGACUGCCCUAUGGGUUGUAAACUUCUUUUAUAUGGGAAUAAAAUGUUCCACGUGUGGGAUUUUGUAUGUACCAUAUGAAUAAGGAUAGGCUAACUCCGUGCCAGCAGCGGCGGUAAUACGGAGGAUCCGAGCGUUAUCAGGAUUUAUUGGGUUUAAAGGGAGCGUAGGUGGAUUGUUAAGUCAGUUGUGAAAGUUUGCGGCUCAACCGUAAAAUUGCAGUUGAAACUGGCAGUCUUGAGUACAGUAGAGGUGGGCGGAAUUCGUGGUGUAGCGGUGAAAGGCUUAGAUAUCACGAAGAACUCCGAUUGCGAAGGCAGCUCACUGGACUGCAACUGACACUGAGGCUCGAAAGUGUGGGUAUCAAACAGGAUUAGAUACCCGGGUAGUC